GUAUCUAGAAAUAAGUCUAUAUUAUUGUUGUGGAAUAUGCUUUUGGUUGUGCUUGAAACAACUUUAAUUUAGUUAAUUUGCAUAAAUAUAAUGAUUGUAUGUCUUCGUGUUCGUUUAUUAAAAGUGUUAAAAACAAUUGGAAUAAAUCAAUCAUUGUAGUCUGAUGAAGAAAUACCUUACAUACGUUCUAUAGUGCGUCGCGGUAAAACCUUUAGAAUGGAGAGCCUCAUGUGAACAUUGUAAGGGAUAUAUAUUUUGACAGCAGUUACACAUGCUAUAUGGCAUCUUUCAAUGCGGCAAUUUGACUUAAGCUUUAGAAGUCGUUUGCUAAACUUUAUUAAGACUUGUUAGGGUUUCUAGAUCUCUGAGAACGUGUUUGCUAAUAUAUUGUUAAUAUGGUGGUCCUAUGAAAAAUAUGGGCGACCAGGUUCAACGACGAUUGCGAAAACCUCAAGGAAGAGACAGUUCUUCUUCGAACAGGAAGGCUAUCUACGUUGAGAGAAGAGAGAAACCAACACUUAAAAUUGGUGACAAAGUCAGCCGACGGUCAGACAGGUUGGGUUUUUACAUGGAUCCCGAAGACGAAAGAAGGUUGUAAGACAACGAAAUAGAAGAGCCGAUUUCGCAUACACAGUCAGACUGCUGUGGCUGCUGCGCCAUUCUCUGAGGACACGCAAUCCAGUGAGCAUCGUUCUGUGAAAUCUGGGCUUCAUGUAUAUCCGUAAAGUGCCGACCAGAUUAGCCUGUGCAUUCUGAAGUCCGGCUGACACUUGACGAACAUGAAUUAAGCCCAAAUUUCCCAGAACACAACUAAAUGGAAGGCUUUUUACCGAUCGAGGAUCAUUCCAUGCAAAUAUUUCACCACGUCUCCUCAAAAGCGUGUCAAGCGUUGCAAAA